rnacentral:rRNA from 1 species
GACGAACGCUGGCGGCGUGCCUAAUACAUGCAAGUAGAACGCAGUUGCGAACAGGUGAGUAACGCGUAGGUAACUGCCUCAUAGCGGGGGUCAACGAUGGGUAACGAUAGCUAAUACCGCAUACUGUGAGAUGGACCUGCGUUGUAUUAGGUAGUUGGUUAGGUAAAGGGUCACCAAGGCGACGAUACAUGGCCGACCUGAGAGGGUGGUCCGGCCAAAUGGGAAUGGGACAAGGGCCCGGACCCUUAGGGAGGCAACCGUAGGGAAUCUUCGGGAAUUGGCGGAAGUCUGACCGAGCAACGCCGCGGGAGUGAAGAAGGUUUUCGGGUCGUAAAGCUCUGUUGUUUGAGAAGCGGUAACUAACCAGAAAGGGACGGCUAACUACGUGCCAGCAGCCGCGGUAAUAC